rnacentral:piRNA from 1 species
UGAAUACAAUCAUAAAGGGCCCAUUAUC